rnacentral:rRNA from 1 species
CCGGAUUAGCUGAGAGGUGGUGCGAUGGCCGUCGUCAGUUCGUACUGUGAAGCAUCCUGUUAAGUCAGGCAACGAGCGAGACCCACGCCCACAGUUGCCAGCGUACUCUCCGGAGUGACGGGUACACUGUGGGGACCGCCGCUGCUAAAGCGGAGGAAGGAAUGGGCAACGGUAGGUCAGUAUGCCCCGAAUAUCCCGGGCUACACGCGAGCUACAAUGGUUGGUACAAUGGGUAUCUACCCCGAAAGGGGACGGAAAUCUCCUAAAACCAAUCUUAGUUCGGAUUGAGGGCUGCAACUCGCCCUCAUGAAGCUGGAAUCCGUAGUAAUCGCGUUUCAACAGAACGCGGUGAAUACGUCCCUGCUCCUU